UCCUGCCUGCUGAGCUCUGCCACAACUGUCCUGGCUCUCUCCAGCUCAGCCCCUCUGCAGGACCCCUCCUCAUUGUGGUGUUUUCUGCGUGAAUGGAAGACGGGGAAGCUGAGGGAAGAAGAGAAUAUUUGAAGUUCAUCUAGCAUGGACAAAUGGAACUGUUUAGCUCCAAUAUUCAACAGCAAACAGCAAAGGUGGAAAAGGUCUCCCAAACAAAGUUGAUUCAUCCACAAAAACCAGUAAUUAAAAAGGAAAACUAAAAACUAUUCAUGCAGUAAUAAAGGAUUACUCAGAGAUGUUUCAGCUCUCCUAUUUGUCUUAGUCAAACAAUCUGACAUAGACUUAGCUCAUUCUAUUCAGACAAUGGAAGUUCCCAGUGUACUCAAGUUAUGCUUCAGAGCUGUAUUAUAUUAAGCCACAGAAAUACAAAAUCUACGGAUCAUUUAUGGUGGAAAGGACCUUAAAGGUCGUCAAGUCCAACCAUAAACCUAACACUGUCAAAUCCACCACUAAAUCAUGUCCUCAAGCACCACAUCUACACGUUUUUUAAAUACCUCCAGAGGAUGGUGACUCACCAGCUUCCCUGGGCAGCCUGUUCAAAUACCUGACAAACCCUUCAGUGAAGAAAUGUUUCCUAAUAUGCAAUCUCAACCUCCCCUGGUGCAUCCUGAGGCUAUUUCCCUUCGUCCUAUCACUUUUUACAUGGGAGAAGAGAACAACAUCCACCUCACUAUAACCUGUUUUCAGGUUCCAGUUCACAACUUUGUUUCUUCCCAGCAACUAAAUUACAGGGUGCAUGAACCCAGAUGUACUGUCCAAGGCCAUCCAUGAAGGAAAAGAAAAUCACACAUAUCCUUAUUUCUGGCAAAUGGUAAUACCAGAGAGUUAACCAAAACUUUUGCUUCAGCAAACUUUAUUCCUGGAGCCUAGACAAAAGAAAUUGGAAUGGGCAUUGCACUUUCUGGGAGAGGUUUGUGAACAAGAACCAUCAUUUUUAUUUGCUUUUUCCUACCAGUCAAAAAACAUAAUCUAACUUCCCAGGUGUCUGAAGCACUGCUAAUAUACAUUUCAUGGCUGGAUAAACAUAAAAAUGCCUACAUAAACAGGAAAAAAUAUAUCAACUGAAAAAUGCUGCUGUCAUCCGUAGAGCUAAGUCUCACCCAAAAGACAGAUACAAGGUUUCUAAAAAUUUUUAUCUUUCA